GUCUACGGCCAUGCUGCCCUGAGCAAGCCCGAGCCCGGCCGAUCUUGGAAGCUAAGCAGGGUCGGGCCUGGUUAUUACUUGGAUGGGAGACCACCUAGGAAGACCAGGUACUGUAGGCG
rnacentral:rRNA from 1 species